rnacentral:rRNA from 1 species
UACAGAGGGUGCGAGCGUUAAUCGGAAUUAUUGGGCGUAAAGCGCACGUAGGCGGCUUGGCAAGUCGGAUGUGAAAUCCCUCGGCUCAACCAAGGAAGUGCAUCCGAAACUGCUGAGCUUGAGUACUUAAGAGGAUCGCGGAAUUCCCGGUGUAGAGGUGAAAUUCGUAGAUAUCGGGAGGAACACCAGUGGCGAAGGCGGCAUCCUGGACCGGCAUUGACGCUGAGGCGCGAAAGCUAGGGGAGCAAACGGG